rnacentral:rRNA from 1 species
UUACGAACAAAUGUUUAAAAUCCAAAGAUCUUGGCGGUGUCUUAUAAAAUCAGGGGAACCUGUCUCAUAACUCGAUAAUCCACGCGCUCUCAACCCCCUAUAGAACUACCAGCUUGUAUACUGCCGUCGUAAGUAUACCUCUAAAAGAACUAGUAUACUAAAUGAAGUAUAUACUCUCAUAUACGUCAGGUCAAAGUGCAGCCAAUUAGGGGGUGAUGAUGGGUUACAACCUUAAAAAAGACACAAACUGAAACAUUAAAAUUUCAUGAAGGUG